rnacentral:tRNA from 1 species
ACAGAGUGUAGCUUAACUAAAGCCUCUUGCUUACACCAAGACAAUACCCAAUAAUUAUGGGUCGCUCUG